UCGCUAACAUCGUGUGUUGAACGCUUCUUUAAGAGAAAACCUGUCUGAAUUGUAUAUUAUUUGCAUUUAGGAUUAGCAAAUAACAAUAAUUAAUAUCUGAAGACAAAGAAAUCCAGAUAAAGUUGAGUAGCCGAUACAGGAUAAUCCGAAGAAGACAAAAGAACAAACAAACAAAUAAAUGGAAGAAGACCAACGAUCGAAUGGAAAAUUAUUGUGCCAUUUUAUCGAGAGCUGCAUCGCUCGUAAAUUACAACAACGACGAUCAUUCGUUCUUCACAAAUCUCAUUUAAUAUAGAACAUUUAAUUAAUUAAUUAAUUAAUUUAUUUAUUUAUUUAUUUAUUUAUUUAUUUAUUUAUUUAUUUAUUUAUUUAUUUAUUUAUUUAUUUAUUAAUAACUAACAUAUAACUAGUGAGAGUUAAAAGAAAAUGAAGAAAUGAAGUAAAUAUUGAGAAUACUUAUUUUUCGCCAAAGAGCCCUUAAGCUUACUCAGGUUAUAUUUCUACCCGAAGCAGGUAGGCAGUAAGGCAUGAAAUAUUACAAAUUUAGAAAAACUAAGAAGUAUAUUCUACGAAAUAGAGGGCAAUUUACCGAAGAAGGAUGUACAUCGUUAACGAAUUUUGAAUCGUAAUUCUAUGUCGUAACAUAGAAAAAUUGGUUGCGUUAAAAAUGAAAAUUACCGAACGAAAUGGAAGAAGUGCCUCGAUGUUUGUAAGAAUAUUGACAAAAUUUCAUUGUAAUUCGCCAAAGAAACUCUGUCGAUAGAACUCAAUUAUAAAUAAACCAAAAAUUUCAUUCUAAUUAUAUAUCAGACCAGCAUGAUCCUAGAUAUCGGUAAAAGAAAGUAAAGUUUCGAAGCUUCAAAAUGAAGAUACUAAUAGGGACGCUCGUUUCCUCGGCGAUAAUCUUCUUAUCGCGUUUUUCUAUCUAACACUUUAUGACUGCUACCAGGCCGUCCUGUGCCCUUGACAAAUUACAUUUCUGAUGACAACAAGUCAUAAGUGACUCACAAGUUUUCACCACUGUGACACACACCCAUAUAUUUACGACACCUUGAAACGGAUUUCCCCAAGAAAUUUCAGUGUUUCAGCGUUCUAUGCUGAACAAGUAGCGGGUAACCAAGGAAGGGUAGAAAGAGAGAAAGAGAGGCGAAAUAGGAGCAAGUAUUCGUCGAAAAUGAACGAUACUGAACGUUGGAAUAGAACUCUAUCCGGCUGCCCCUAUUCUCAUUGUCGCUGACGCACAGUGCACACCGGGGUUGCGCUACGAUUAUCUAUGACGCAUUCUUCCAUUAUGCGUUUCGCUCUUUCUCUGGCUUUCUCCCGCGUCGAUUCUCUCUGUCUUUGUCUGGCUAGUGGGCCGCGGCAACAGGUCCUACGCAUGAGCCGCGCUUAAACGGAGUCGCAUCGGCCGAUGGAGGUUCUUUCAGGAAUGGCUCGUGAGCCUCUUUGUGGAUUUCACGAACGAGAGACGAAGAGGAAAGGCCGGAGGAACACCGGCGAGUUGAAUGAAAAGGAGAAAAAAAAGAAAGAAGGAGAGAGAAAGAGAGAGAGAGAGAGAAAGUAAGGGGAACGAGAAGAGACAAGGAGAAAAUGGGUCAAGUCGGUCGGAUAUAAUGGGUGAUUUGAAUACGACGAAGCGCGACGCCAGCUAACGCGCCCGCAAACGGUAAAUUAGCCGAGACGUUUCGCGGUUCGACGAAAGAACAUGUAUACUCACCGGUGUGAUUAGACAUCGUAGGAAAUGUAAUCGACCAUGAUGAUUGAUCUUUGUUAAUAGUUUCAAUAUUUGUUCGAUAUUCACGAAAGUAUUCGAACUCGUCGCGUAGAAUUUUCAUAGAUUAUCGACAUUCGAUUGACCACGAUGAGCUAAUCAUUGCUAACAUUUUCAAUAUCUGUAUAUUUAAGCAUACGUAAAUAUUUUCAAUAUUCGUUCGAUAUUCACGAAAGUAUUCGAACUCGUCGCGUAGAAUUUUCAUAGAUUAUCGACAUUCGAUUGACCACGAUGAGCUAAUCAUUGCUAACAUUUUCAAUAUGUGCAUAUUUAAGCAUACGUAAAUAUUUUCAAUAUUCGUUUGAUAUUCACGAAAGUAUUCGAACUCGUCGCGCA